rnacentral:rRNA from 1 species
UACGUAGGCAGCAAGCGUUGUUCGGAGUUACUGGGCGUAAAGGGUGCGUAGGCGGCUUUUUAAGUUUGGUGUGAAAUCUCCCGGCUCAACUGGGGAGGUGCGCCGAAUACUGAGAGGCUAGAGGUGUGGGAGAGGAAAGUGGAAUUCCUGGUGUAGGCGGUAGAAAUGCGUAGAUAUCAGGAGGAACACCGGUGGUGUAAACGGCUUUCUGGACCAUAACUGACGCUGAGGCACGAAAGCGUGGGUAGCAAACAGG